UACAAAGGGGGCAAGCGUUAUUCGGAAUUAUUGGGCGUAAAGGGCGCGUAGGCGGCUUUGCAAGUGGCGGGUGAAAUCCCUCGGCUUAACCGAGGAACUGCCUGCCAGACUGUGAGGCUUGAGACCGGGAGAGGUGAGUGGAAUUCCCAGUGUAGCGGUGAAAUGCGUAGAUAUUGGGAGGAACACCAGUGGCGAAGGCGGCUCACUGGACCGGAACUGACGCUGAGGCGCGAAAGCGUGGGGAGCAAACAGG
rnacentral:rRNA from 1 species